UACGUAGGUGGCAAGCGUUGUCCGGAAUUACUGGGCGUAAAGGGCGUGUAGGCGGUCUGAUAAGUCAGACGUGAAAUCUCCAGGCUUAACCUGGAAACUGCGUUUGAAACUGUCGGACUUGAGGACCGGAGAGGGCAGUGGAAUUCCCAGUGUAGCGGUGAAAUGCGUAGAUAUUGGGAGGAACACCAGUGGCGAAGGCGACUGCCUGGACGGCACCUGACGCUGAGGCGCGAAAGCUAGGGGAGCAAACGGG
rnacentral:rRNA from 1 species